CAAACCCAAUAGAAAAGAAUUCCAGAAGAUUGCCAUGGCAACAGCAAUAGGAUUUGCAAUAAUGGGCUUCAUUGGCUUCUUCGUAAAAUUGAUCCAUAUCCCUAUUAAUAACAUCAUUGUGGGUGAGUGAAUACACUUUGGAGAGGUAUUCCU